rnacentral:rRNA from 1 species
GGUGCGUAACGCGUAUCAAACCUGCCUCAUACUCGGGGAUAGCCUUGCGAAAGUAAGAUUAAUACCCGAUGUUGUUGCUUUCUCGCAUGGGAGAGUAACCAAAGAUUUAUCGGUAUGAGAUGGUGAUGCGUCCGAUUAGGUAGUAGGCGGGGUAACGGCCCACCUAGCCUUCGAUCGGUAGGGGUUCUGAGAGGAAGGUCCCCCACACUGGAACUGAGACACGGUCCAGACUCCUACGGGAGGCAGCAGUGAGGAAUAUUGGUCAAUGGGCGAGAGCCUGAACCAGCCAAGUAGCGUGCAGGAUGACGGCCCUCCGGGUUGUAAACUGCUUUUAGUUGGGAAUAAAAAAAGGGACUUGUCCCUUCUUGUAUGUACCUUCAGAAAAAGGACCGGCUAAUUCCGUGCCAGCAGCCGCGGUAAUACGGAAGGUCCAGGCGUUAUCCGGAUUUAUUGGGUUUAAAGGGAGCGUAGGCGGAUUGUUAAGUCAGCGGUUAAAGGGUGUGGCUCAACCAUGCAUUGCCGUUGAAACUGGCGAUCUUGAGUGCAGACAGGGAUGCCGGAAUUCGUGGUGUAGCGGUGAAAUGCUUAGAUAUCACGAAGAACUCCGAUCGCGAAGGCAGGUGUCCGGGCUGCAACUGACGCUGGGGCUCGAAAGUGUGGGUAUCAAACAGGAUUAG